rnacentral:rRNA from 1 species
UACAGAGGUCUCAAGCGUUGUUCGGAUUCAUUGGGCGUAAAGCGCACGUAGGCGGAUCAGUCAGUUAGAGGUGAAAGCCCAGGGCUCAACCCUGGAACUGCCUUUAAUACUGCUGGUCUGGAGUCCGAGAGAGGUGAGUGGAAUUCCGAGUGUAGAGGUGAAAUUCGUAGAUAUUCGGAGGAACACCAGUGGCGAAGGCGGCUCACUGGCUCGGUACUGACGCUGAGGUGCGAAAGCGUGGGGAGCAAACAGG